AAACCCAAUAAGCCCAUUAAGAUCAGGGACUUCACUUACCCGGAGCUAUUAAAAGCCACCAAUGGGUUCUCCGCUGAGAGUUUUCUUGGCAAAGGCAGCCACGGGUGCGUCUAUAAAGCUUCUCUAGACGAUGGUAAGCUUAUAGCCGCCGUCAAGAAGACCUAUCGAAACCCAUCAAUAAGCAUCCACAGUAACUGCACCACUUGCACAACUCCUGCAGAGAACGAGAUUGAGAUACUCUCCAGAGUACAGCACCCGAGGCUUGUUAACCUCAUAGGCUUCUGCGUAGAUUCUAAAGACAGGAAAUUACUAGUUGUAGAAUACAUGCCAAAUGGUUCUUUAUACGAUCUUUUACACUGUAGCUCCAGGCCGCCCAGUUGGACCAGGCGUAUCCGGUUUGCUUUGCAAAUAGCCAAGGCUGUUCAAGCUUUGCACUUGGCGAACACGCCGGUGAUUCACAGAGACAUAAAAUCGUCAAAUGUGUUGAUCGACGAGAACUGGAACGCGAGGCUUGGAGAUUUCGGGCUCGCCUUGAGAGGACACGUGGAGGAUGUACGAGUCAAGUGCACGCCGCCGGCAGGGACUUUAGGGUACCUUGACCCAGGUUAUCUUGCGCCGAGCGAUUUAAGCACCAAGAGCGACGUUUUCAGUUUUGGGAUCCUACUGUUGGAGGUCAGUGGCAGAAAUGCAAUUGAUGUCAACUACAGCCCACCAUCUAUCGUCGACUGGGCAGUACCGUUGAUAAAGCGCGGGGACUUCUCCAGUAUUUGUGAUCAUAGAAUCGGGUCGCCGGUGGACCCUGGAGUGAUAAAGAAUCUGGCAAUUCUAGCGGCCAGGUGUGUGAGAUCCACUACGGAGAAGCGUCCCGGAAUGACAGAGGUAGUUGAGGGAUUGAAAAUUAUAAGUAAGAGAGUUCAUGCGCCGCACAUAUGGAAUAGCUUGAGGAGGCGCGUGGGACUAGCGGAAGAAUCGCGGCCAUUUGAGGCGGCAAUUGAUUCAAAUGAAGAGGUUGUUAACGCUAACAAGGCUACUAGUAGAGUGGGGAGCAGAAGAAACAGAAAAGUAUCGAGUGUUUCGAGUGUAGAGUUUGGAAAUGAAACGAUUGGAUGGAUAGGGGAGCGGGUAAUCAGAUCAAAAUCCAUUGGUUCAUUCGGCGAUACAAAACUGGAUGGAUCUGAAUCAAGAAGGAAUGCAAGUGUAGCAGUGAAAAUCCCACUAGUGAAGCUGAGCAAGUCAAGGUCCACGGGAGUACUUCACAGAAGCAUCAAAUCCAGAGAAAUUGAGGCCUCUAUUUCUGAGCUGUUAAUAAGGUUGGACGAGAAGUCAGAGAAAGAGAUGCAAGAGAAGCCACUGGUGAUCUCCAUCUAAAAAACUUGUUGGAUUUGUUUUGAGUUGAUGAAUUUUGAGUAUUCGACCCUGGUGGGUUUUGUUUAUUGGGAUUCAUCAAACCACAACAGAAUCUCUAUAAUCAAUCCAGAAUUCCAAAUUCUUUUGCAUUGGAAUUGUUUUUCUUUUCUUUUUUUUUUCUACAUUCAAGUUUGUAAUUCUCAGCAUGUCAUCAAUAUUUUCUAAAAUCUAAAAUCUCAGUUUGAAG
rnacentral:misc_RNA from 1 species